GCCUGUGUGGCUGAUGAACUAAGGCGAUGGACUCGAAAUCCAUUGGGGUCUCCCCGCGUGGGUUUCCGAAGAUCCUACCGGCACGCU